rnacentral:misc_RNA from 1 species
GAUGAAGAACGUAGCGAAAUGCGAUACGUAAUGUGAAUUGCAGAAUUCAGUGAAUCAUCGAAUCUUUGAACGCAUAUUGCGCUCUCUGGUAUUCCGGAGAGCAUGCUUGUUUGAGUAUCAGUAAACACCUCAACUUCCAUAUCUUUUUUGAAAUGGGAGUUGGACUUGAGUGAUCCCAACGCUUUUCCUCACCGAAAAGUGGCGGGUUACUUGAAAUGCAGGUGCAGCUGGACUUUUCUCUGAGCUAUAAGCAUAUCUAUUUAGUCUGCCUAAAAAACAGAUUAUUACCUUUGCUGCAGCUAACAUAAAGGAGAUUAGUUCUUGUGCUGACUGAUGCAGGAUUCACAAAGACGGCUUCGGCCGACUUUGUAAACUCGAUCUCAAAUCAAGUAAGACUACCCGCUGAACUUAAGAAUAUCAAUAAGCGGAGGA